UGGGGAAUCUUGCGCAAUGGGCGAAAGCCUGACGCAGCGACGCCGCGUGGGUGAUGAAGGCCUUCGGGUUGUAAAGCCCUGUGGGGAGGGACGAAUACACUCGACCUAAUACGUCGAGCGAUGACGGUACCUCCUUAGCAAGCACCGGCUAACUCUGUGCCAGCAGCCGCGGUAAGACAGAGGGUGCAAACGUUGUUCGGAAUUACUGGGCGUAAAGCGCGUGUAGGCGGCAAGGCAAGUCGGGCGUGAAAGCCCUGGGCUCAACCCAGGAAGUGCGCUCGAUACUGCCAAGCUGGAGUCCCGGAGAGGAUGGUGGAACUCUCGGUGUAGAGGUGAAAUUCGUAGAUAUCGAGAAGAACACCGGUGGCGAAGGCGGCCAUCUGGACGGUGACUGACGCUGAGACGCGAAAGCGUGGGGAGCAAACAGG
rnacentral:rRNA from 1 species